UUCCUUCUUCUCAGAUGUUUUGUAAACUAUAAACGCUCCAGGGUCCCACCUCCCAACUUCUUUCACUUGAGCAGAAUGGCAUAGAGCACCUCUGGAAACAAACGUUUCACUUGACACUUGGAUUCAAAUCCCGAGUGCUGGCUCGGCCUGCUCCUCCGCGAGGUUAUCCCCGGGCUCUCCUUACCUUGUGACUGCGCCUCCAUGUUCACGGAGCUCCUGCGCCACGUCCCGUGAGCCCAUGGGGCUGCUCGGCCCGGCUGGCGGAACACAUUCCAGCAAAGCGGAAGAAGAGGCGAGCCUUUUUAGAGACAUCCGGAGGAAGUCACGUGCACUGCUCGCUCCUGACCAACCACGGCUCAGAAGAUAUUUAUUCUGCCGUGCAUAGGCGUUCUCCCCAGUCGUUACACCUUCAGGUGGCCUUUUUAUUUUUCACCCCUCUUGAACAACAUGUGUCUUAUGUAAUUUGUUUUGCGUUCCCGGAAGGAGGAAGCUUUUCGGAUCACGUUGUUUGUUAAGAUACAGACAAGGCGCCCGAGUGAUAGAUCGCCCGAGCCCUGGAAGGAAACAAUAUACCACGAUCGUGUAAUCCGCCGCGUUGCCGAGCCCAGCGGGAGGCAGGUGAUUACCGAGCCGGGUCACCUGCACUCAAGGGCCGGGCCAGCAGCCGGCGCCCCACCGUCUCCCCUUCCAUCUUCUGCACCCCGCCCGCCCGGCGUCCCGGGAACUAGGUGCUGGAAACUCAUCCUCCAUCUUUGUUUCAAGGAAGUCCAGACACUUGGGGCUUUGAAGGUGCCGCAUCUGUCCAGCUAGGCCUGUCUUUUGGGUUCUGGAUUUACGUGUUUAUUUAUGCCAAAAAUGGAUGCUAAGGCAAAUCGUGUGGGAGUAACAAAGGUGUCAAUCAACCAAAAAAAAAAAAAAAAAACAACCCAGAAAUAAAAAAUGAGAAAUCUGUAUUUUAUUUCGUUCUCUUGAUGAAGGCAGGGCACAGCUCCACCCAGGUCAGAACAUGCAGAAGUUCCCAUUCUUGCGGACAGGGCUGUGGGCGAAUGGUUCUCCUCUCCCCUCAGUCACAGCUCAAAAUGGAAGCCCGUCUGGCACCGGGACACCAUCUGAAUGUUUGACUCACCGGGAUUCCUCACUUUGCUUCCAUUCACUUUCCACGGGCACGACUAGAUUUGAUCCAUGUGUUUCCAACUAAGUAAGUUAACUUGACA